GCCUCGUUGGUGUAACGGAUAACACUCGAGUUUCCUAAACUUGCAAUAGGGGUUCGAUUCCCUUACGGGGUA
rnacentral:tRNA from 1 species